CACACAUUGCCUCACACACACACAUACACUGCCCACCCAUAUACACACAGACCCCCAUACACAGCCCCCCAUAUUAACAUUGCCACACACAUACACAGCCCACACACCCUACACAUUCACACACUACACCCCCACACACACACACUGAACCUUUCACACACAUUGCACCACUGCUCCUAUUCCCUACUACAGCCCCAUAUCCCAGCAGAUCCCAGGUAAGUUGUCAAACUGUUCUUAAAUGGUUUGACUACUUACUCUGGAGCAGUAGUGGUUAUUGUGC